ACGCUGGCGGCAGGCCUAACACAUGCAAGUCGAGCGGUAGAGAGAAGCUUGCUUCUCUUGAGAGCGGCGGACGGGUGAGUAAUGCCUAGGAAUCUGCCUGGUAGUGGGGGAUAACGUUCGGAAACGGACGCUAAUACCGCAUACGUCCUACGGGAGAAAGCAGGGGACCUUCGGGCCUUGCGCUAUCAGAUGAGCCUAGGUCGGAUUAGCUAGUUGGUGGGGUAAUGGCUCACCAAGGCGACGAUCCGUAACUGGUCUGAGAGGAUGAUCAGUCACACUGGAACUGAGACACGGUCCAGACUCCUACGGGAGGCAGCAGUGGGGAAUAUUGGACAAUGGGCGAAAGCCUGAUCCAGCCAUGCCGCGUGUGUGAAGAAGGUCUUCGGAUUGUAAAGCACUUUAAGUUGGGAGGAAGGGUUGUAGAUUAAUACUCUGCAAUUUUGACGUUACCGACAGAAUAAGCACCGGCUAACUCUGUGCCAGCAGCCGCGGUAAUACAGAGGGUGCAAGCGUUAAUCGGAAUUACUGGGCGUAAAGCGCGCGUAGGUGGUUAGUUAAGUUGGAUGUGAAAUCCCCGGGCUCAACCUGGGAACUGCAUUCAAAACUGACUGACUAGAGUGUGGUAGAGGGUGGUGGAAUUUCCUGUGUAGCGGUGAAAUGCGUAGAUAUAGGAAGGAACACCAGUGGCGAAGGCGACCACCUGGACUGAUACUGACACUGAGGUGCGAAAGCGUGGGGAGCAAAC
rnacentral:rRNA from 1 species